AGAUAAUGCAAGAAAAGUUGAGCAACGUGACAAGUGAAUUGCGGCAUGCAAAAGACGAAAGAAUUACACUCAAGAGUUCGACCGUGGAAUUGCUCGAAGUGACCAUGCAGCUCCAACACAAUGAUGAACGUUUAAAUGAAAGCUCUAUGGCGAUAAAAGAAGAAGUAACGAGUCUCAAGGAUCUUAUACAG